rnacentral:rRNA from 1 species
GCAGCCGCCGCGGUAAUACGUAGGGUGCAAGCGUUAAUCGGAAUUACUGGGCGUAAAGCGUGCGCAGGCGGUUAUAUAAGACAGAUGUGAAAUCCCCGGGCUCAACCUGGGAACUGCAUUUGUGACUGUAUAGCUAGAGUACGGCAGAGGGGGAUGGAAUUCCGCGUGUAGCAGUGAAAUGCGUAGAUAUGCGGAGGAACACCGAUGGCGAAGGCAAUCCCCUGGGCCUGUACUGACGCUCAUGCACGAAAGCGUGGGGAGCAAACAGGAUUAGAUACCCGUGUAGUCCCUGUCUCUUAUAC